UCCGGAAGUCCGGGCGGCCGCGGUGGUGGGAGUUGUAGUUCCGCUGCGCGCCCGGGGGACCAAGCCUCGGGGCGCGAUGGCAAAGUCGAGCUGAGACAUCUUGGGCCGCUACACCCAGACGUGAUUCUCUACCCGCCUCCAGCCUGGACGUGUUUGAGGCCCGGACUCUAGGACUGCUCCAGCCCUUGGUCCGGGAUGCCCCGGCCUGGCCCUGAAGUCCCGCCCGCUGGUUUGGGGAGAACGUGGCGUCAGGUCUUCUCUCCCUCGUACUGUUUCUCGAAAAGGAGGAAAACAGCAAACCAAUGCUUAAUGAGAAAUGAAACACUUAUGAAUCUUAAAGAACAAGGAGAGAAAAAUUUGUCCGUGAACUUUGUGCUUUUUUAGACAGUAGUCAAUCUAUGUUUCAAGAGAACAGGCAAGCUACCUGAAUUAUCAUUGAAAGAAUACAGCAACAUCUACUCACUAUGACUUAAUUAAGGAAUAAUAUUGGGAGUUAGACAUUUAUUUCCUGGUGAUGUAGUGAUUUCAACUCAGAGGCUAUAGAAUGAUUCAGUUCCUGGUCAGAGGAAUGCUCAAGUUUAAAGAGUACCAUGAUAGAAUGAAAAGAACACUGAAUUGAGAGCCAGGUAAUCUGACUUGUAGUAUAUUUUACUGCUAAUGUCUGGAUGAGCUUCAGAAAUGAUUUAAGCUCACUAGACUUCUGUCUUUCAAAUGAAGGAAAUGGACUUUGAAAACCUCAGUUCAGAAAUCUAGGAGUUUUAUAUUUUGCACAUGGAAAUUAUUCUCUUUGCUUUAUAUCUGCAUACUGUACAUGUCUUGUUCAAUUUCUGCGAGUAGUAUAUUAAUAUAAAUCUAACUAUGUAUGCAUCUGCUUUAGCACUGGUAUGAAGCACCCCAAAUGGUGUAAGGCAUCUAGUUCUCAACACUGGUCGCUAGAGGAUUAAUGGUGGAUAUUCGUUCUUUCAACAAGUGUUUAUUAAACACCUGCUGUGUGCUAGCUAUGGAAAAAUAGCAUUGAACAAAACAGACAAAAUCCCUAAUCUCAUUGAGUUUACCAUCUAGUGAGGACAAUCAGACAAACAAAAUAAGUAAAAUUUAUGGGAAUUAGGUAGUGAUAAAUUCUAUAGAGAAAAACAAAACAGGUUUCAAGAAGGGAGAUGGAGGAGUAUUGGGAUGUGUAAGGUUUGCAGUUAUAACUAGAGUGGUCCAGGAAUUAUUUGUGGAGAAGUGCACGUUAAGCAGAAACCUGAAGGAGGUGAAAGGAACAAGCCAUGUGGUAUCUAAAUAAAGAAACUUCCAGGUAAAAGAAAGAGCAAUUGCAAAACCCUGGAGGUGGGAGUGGUCUGUUCAUAAAAGAGCAAAGUGGCCAGUGCAGCUGGAGCUGAGGCAGUGAGGGGGAAAGAGAUAAUGGGGAGCAGUUUCUGCAGGACACUAUUAUGAGGGCGUUGACUUUUAUUUUGAAUUGAAGCAGGAAGUCACUAGAGAGCUUUGAGGAGAGGAUCAAUUUGGCUCCUGGGUUGAGAAUAAACUCCAGAGGGCAAAGGCAAAAAGGGAGACUGGUUAGUAGCAUUUACAAUAAUCCAGGUGAGAGAUGGGAGAUCUUAGCCAGGGAGGUGGAGAUGGUGAGGGGAUGGUUGGAUUCUGGAGACUGUGAUAGUAUUAGCUGGUGAUUUGGAUGAAGGAUAUGUGCAACAGGAGUGCCAGCAAGGUACCAGGUUUUUAGCCUGAACAAUUAGCCGGUGAAGCUGCCAUUGACUGAGAUGAAGAAGACUGCAGGAAGAGCAGGUUUUGGGGGAAGACUGCCUUUCCCCCUUCAAUUCCACUGUUACUGCAUCACCCAUAUGCCACACUCCUGGAACUCUGCAACAGCUAAUUUUUAGCCUCUUCUUUUCUAAUCCGUCCUGUAUGCCAUAGGAAUUAAGACAAGGUUGUUUAGACUGGGGAAAAACGAAUGCUUGGUCAAUAUCCAAAGGUUAACCAUUCUUUGCAUUUAUUUUAUUUGUGUAGUAGGGAUUUGCCUUUGCAUUUGAUUGUUUUUGAAGUUGUUUUUAACAGUUCAGUGAACUCUGAGUAGAACUAUGAACAAUGUAAUUAUUUUGUCUGCUUUAUUAGAGAUGCUUUUGUAAUCAUGUUAAUUAUAUUUAACUAAAUAAGGCUUGCAUCUCUUUAUAACUGAUGUUUAUACCUUCUGUAAGAUAAAUAUAAAGCCUUUUUGUUCACGUUUUUAUGUUCUUGAGGACUUGCUGUACGAUUGCAGGGAGUUUAAAAAAAAAGUGGAGUGCGUUUGUAUUAUUAGUCUGAUCUUAAUGUUGUAACGUAUUGAUCAUGCAAAAUAUAUAAUUGUUUUUUUAUUUAACAUAUGCAGGACUGUAACAACACAAACUAGAGAAGAUGACAUAAGGUACAAAAAAGCAAGUAAGUUAGUAUCUAAUAAAAAUGUUUGGUUCUAAUAUUAGUGGAGUUCUCUGGAAAGUAAGUUGACUUCCUCAAUACGUUUUUGUCUCCUUUUUCCAAAAAUUUCCCUCAACUCUGGUAUAUGUUGAAUAAUAUUCUUUAUUUUAAGAGUUUAAUUUGAAAACAAAUGUUAUCUUUUUUCAACUAAAAUAUGAAAUCUGAAUCUAAUAAUUCCUCUCUCUCUCUCUCUCUUUUUUUUUUUUUUUG